UACGUAGGGAGCAAGCGUUGUCCGGAAUCAUUGGGCGUAAAGCGCGCGUAGGCGGCCCGAUAAGUCCGCUGUGAAAGUCAACGGCCCAACUGUUGGAUGCCGGUGGAUACUGUCGGGCUAGAGUACGGAAGAGGCAAGUGGAAUUCCUGGUGUAGCGGUGGAAUGCGCAGAUAUCAGGAGGAACACCUAUAGCGAAGGCAGCUUGCUGGGACGUUACUGACGCUAAGGCGCGAAAGCGUGGGGAGCGAACAGG
rnacentral:rRNA from 1 species